rnacentral:lncRNA from 10 species
UGCUAAAGCUGCUUAAAACUCUAAGCCAAUGGUUCAUCCAAAUCCCUGACAGAAUGAUCUCAGAGGCCUAGGAACCUGAGGAAUCUCAUAGCGGGUUAUAAACGCACAUUAUCUGUAAGAGUCAGGAUUGUAUUGCUGGCACCCUGGGUGGGUACAUGGGCAGUGGCAACGAUUUGUGUGUGGGCUGCUGUUUCCAUUCCCAGAGGGCAGAGCUCAUGUUUGGGCUUGGGAGGGUGUUUCCUACUCAAUAAACAAAAAGUGGCCGCAACAGGACUGGGGCAAAACAGUGAGGGGAAAGAGCACGGAACUAGAUGUCCAGAAACCUGGGUCUUAAUUCCAUCCUGAGCACUAUCUCCUCGUACAACCUUGAGCAAGUCCUUUGCCCUUCUGUUUAUAAAAUGAGGUGGGUGGAUCAGGAGUUCUCAAACUGUGCUCCAUGCUACCCUGGGGUUCUAGAAAUUCUGGAGCUCAAGGGCAUCAGUGGGUCAAGAGGACAGAAUGUCAUCAAAUUGGAAUCAUACAGAUUUCAGAUUGGCUUCUUUCACUAAGCAAUAUGCAUGAUAGAGGACUUCAUCAACAAGGUUCUUUCAUCUUCCUUAGUUGUUUGGAUCCUUAAGCCUGCCUUGAAAGAAGAGGGAGAAGGCUUCAGGGGAAAUGCUCCCCGCGCUGACCCACAGGAUGGCUUCCUUCAACAAAUGCAGCCACCUUUGAUUGGCUGCCUGCUACAAGAGAAACAUCAGGAGGCUCUGUAAUGGACAUGCAGAGGAAGAAGGACCUGUUGCCACGUCUACAGAGGGGUCAGGAAAGACACACUUGGAAUGACCCUAAGAAACCAUGGGCAAGUCUCCAUUUUUUUCCCUCAGCCAAAUCUGUAUGCACUGGUACAGCCAUACCAAUUAUUAAAAUAUUGAAAAACUUCUGUGUCCCUUGGGAAACAGCCACUACCAUGAGCCCCACUACUGCCCUUCUCUCCUGGCAUGUUCAGACCUCCCUGAGUCCAGCAAUGAAAGGGUUAACACUUGCCCCAGCAGAGGGCCUCUGGGAGCCAGCUCCUGCCUUCAGAGCUGUCUGUUAAGACUGGUCUAGGACUAGAUUCAUUCUUACUGUUUUUAAAUAGCUUGAAUGUCACCUCCAGAUGAAGCUCCCCAAACGGAAUGAGACAUCUAAAUAGAGCCACAUGGGGUCCAUCUGGGGUGGCUCCCCAGAGGACAAAUUUUGCAAAGGAAAUCUGAUGGGGUAAGAGAUGCAAUUUAGUGGCUAGGAGAGUGAGGG